rnacentral:lncRNA from 1 species
AGAUCAAAGAUAGUUUGACCAUCGAAAACCUCGAGGUAGCCUGUUCGUUAUUUGUAUCAUACCAAGUCUUAAAAUAGGAUCAUGGCGGAUGAACAGUUGAGUCGAAAAUAUAAGAUUGAAAAAACUCAAGAAGUGAUAAUGGAAAAGAUGGCAAGAUUGGUGGAAAUGAUGACCACUUAUAAAGGGAAAGUGCUAGCUGAAGAACCUUCUACUCUAGGCGAUGACAAAAGGGAGCCUUUAUAUCCAUUAGGAUUUACUCCAACCUAGAUGCAAGUUCCUCAACAAGAAUACUAGAUGCCAGAGCCAUUAAUUGAGGCAUAUCAAUUCCAACCACUCGCGGGUCAAACUGUUAGGAAUUUGAGAAUAUGGUACCUUGGAAAGCAAGCAUAUUCUUAUGAUUAUAUUCCAUUUAUUUUAUUUGUAAUGAAAGUAAAUUUUGAUAAUAA